AGGGUUGAGAUGGUGUGUGGCCUGCAGAGCCUAAAAUGUUUGCUCCCCGGCCCUUUACAGAAAAUGUUUGCUGACUCCUGCAGAGACAGUAUGAGGAAGACCUGCGGAAAGACGCUGCUGGCCGCGCUCAGGAGUCCGGCUUCACCGGGCCAGGAGCUGCUGAAAGGCCUAGAGGACCAGGCAGGGAGCAGAAAAGAAUCCGGAGCAAGCAGCCGCUGCCCUAGAUCUCGGCUGUCAUCCGUGUUUCCAGGGGCUACGAAAUGGAGCGAGCACAGGCGAGAUUUGAGUUCAAAUUCCAGCUUCUUCAUUCACCAGCUGAGUGACCUUAGGAAAGUCCCCUCUGGGAUUUCCCGCGCAGCCACAGACAGCUGCAGGAUAAUCUGGGGAGAUUUUUGAAGUCGAGCAGAAGGAACACGUGAACAUCGACUGAAAUUCUCGUUGUUUUUAACGGCACUGAGUCUACUGGCGUGUUGAUCAAAGCGAGUUGUACAAAUUCAGGGGAGAGAGACCCAUUUUGUUCGAAUGACAGCAAAUCACAUUUGAACUCGAGCAAAUUUAAUUUUCUGUUCCAGCUCAAUAUUUCCAGCAAAGAUUUUGAGAAACAAAAUUGGAUUUUCAGUGAUGGGGAUACAUUUUAACACAUGCCACAGCUGGGUGGAUUCAACCUGUUGCAUCGAAGUUGCUAUUUCCUGGCCACGCUGAAGAGCAAAAUCUGGAACUCACAGUGUAUAUGAACCCCAGAAGAGAAAUAGACCCGUUAGCACUGGGCCAGGCGGAGAGGGCUUAGCCAAGGCCUUGAAGCACUUUAUUCCCAGGGACUGAGGACCACUGAGUUGGGAGAAAUGAUGACCCAGCUCUCAGAAAUAUAGACUUUUGAGCUAGAAGAGAUUUGAGACAUCACCUAGAGUGUCUAGGGAUCCCUAAAACGUGGGCCAGGAGAUGGUUUUAAUAGCACGAGAAGAACUCAGCGAUAAAUAACUGACUCCCCCUAUGAAGAAAGGUAUUCCCUUUUCAAUUACCCUUUUCUCUACAUCAGAGAGAGUCUCCAGCCCCAGUUCUUUAAUGCUCAGUGGUGAACCAACAGACCUUGGAUGCACUGGUGACAGUAUCAGGCUAGAAUUUUAAAACCUUGUAUCCUUUUGUUUAUAGACCAGGACGCCUGCAAAUGUUUUCCGUAAAGCGCC
ensembl:lncRNA